rnacentral:rRNA from 1 species
CCUACGGGAGGCAGCAGUGGGGGAUAUUGCACAAUGGAGGAAACUCUGAUGCAGCGACGCCGCGUGAGUGAAGAAGGCCUUCGGGUCGUAAAGCUCUGUCCUAGGGGAAGAUAAUGACGGUACCCUAGGAGGAAGCCCCGGCUAACUACGUGCCAGCAGCCGCGGUAAU